rnacentral:sRNA from 1 species
GCCCCAGGAGGAAGGGGGGACUGUUAGCAGCAUAGGAUUGAGGAGUUGGAAGAGACCUUUAGAACAGCUGGUCAUUAUGCCGACCGGGUGCCUGCACUAAGUUCGGCAUCAGUGUGGUGACCUCCUGUGAGCGGGGGGCCACCAAGUUGCCUAAGGAUGGCUGAACUGGCCCAGGUCAGAAAGGGAGCAGGUCAGAACUCCCA